rnacentral:lncRNA from 1 species
UUUUUGUAUUUUUAGUAGAGGCGGGGUUUUGCCUUGUUGGCCAGGCUGGUCUUGAACUCCUGACCUCAGGUGAUCCACCCACCUCAGCCUCCCUAAGUGCUGGGAUUACAGGCAUGAGCCACCGCUCCUGAUCAUAACUACAUUUUCUUAACUUAAAAAGGCACUGCGACAUUAUUUCCACAGUUACCCAACCAAUGAGUCUACAUAAAAAAUGAAAGAACAAAAUUCACAUCAAUCUUACUUGUAUAAUCUCAUGUGCAGACACCAAUUAUGUCAGGCAAAGUCACUAUUCUUAACAUCUGCGAAGCUGGCUCUCCAUGGGUCCACACCAUCACUGUGUCAUACUAUACAAACCGCAGUGCUCUGUGGUAUGAAAUCUACACCAAUCAUUUUCACCAUUAGUUAUCUUUUUUAGGAUACCUGAACCAGAGCUGUGGCAUCAUAACCAAAAUUGCAAACAUGUGCCCCCAACAGAUGCUGGUGGCCUGAGUUUCCAGUCAGGUUUCCAAUGUGUAUCAAAGAAGCCGCAGAGAUUACAAAUCUUUUCCAAAAUAAAGGUUCCUUUUCCAGGCCAAAGUACUACUCCCUGAUAACCUAUGUUGUAAAACAGACUGACCGCUAGGUUCUCUUAAAGGGAGGCACACCUUUGCCUAACUGCCCUAGAGUGGGUGGUACAGAGAGCAGCACUCUCCCAAAUGGCCUUUAAGGAAGUUUCCAGUCCCUCAGGGCCCCUCACGCCCCUCACAUACCCACAGGCUCAUACACAUGUAGUGACAGGCUGUGCACCCACGCAUAUGCACACAGGAGCACACACACACAUAUGUACAGGCUGUUCACCCACACAUGCGCACACAGGAGCACACACACACAUAUGUACAGGCUGCUGUGCACCCACGCAUGCGCACGCAGGAGCACACACACACAUAUGUACAGGCUGUGCACCCACGCAUGCGCACGCAGGAGCACACACACACAUAUGUACAGGCUGUGCACCCAUGCAUGCGCACGCAGGAGCACACACACACAUAUGUACAAGCUGUGCACCCAUGCAUAUGCACGCAGGAGAAGAUGCACCCAUGCAUAUGCACGCAGGAGCACACAUACACAUACAUACAGGCUGUUCACCCAUGCAUAUGAACGCAGGAGCACAAAUACACAUACGUACAGGCUGUUCACCCAUGCAUGUGCACACAGGAGCGCACACACAUGUACAGGCUGUUCACCCAUGCAUAUGCACACAGGAGCACACAUACACAUACGUACAGGCUGUUCACUCAUGCACAUGCACACAGGAGCCAUUACACACAUAUGUUACAGGCUGCACGCAGGAGCACAUAUGUACAGGCUGUGCACACAUGCACAUGCACACAGUCUUUCUCUUUUCUUAUUUUCAAGUGUCCCUGAUUCUUAUUCCACCUCCUUUUACCUUGAUGGCAUAACCAGGAGUGUGAUGAUAGCUACCACUUCAUAGGAACGGCAAGGCCCUAGAAGUUUUUCAUAGGAUCCUACCUUUAUCUGAUUGAAAACCAGUCUUUCCACCUCCUCAGAACACCUUGUUUUGAAAGCUGGGCCAAGCUGCAAGUUCUGCCUAAUCCUCAAUAAGUGCAAGCCUAGGAGGAUCCCCAGAGCUGUUUUUCACCCGUGGUUUACUUCCACUUUGUCACCAAACUACUCUGACCCUGUCUUAGAGGCACUGAAAAGGUAAAGGUCUCCCAAAACCUAAGGAAAAGAACAGAAAACAGCCUGGCUGUAGCCUCGGCCAGGGUCUGCCGGCCUAAAACCUCCAGGCUCCCCAGGCCGGCAUUAUCUGCCGCCUACUCUCUAACCCCC